rnacentral:rRNA from 1 species
GUGGGGAAUCUUCCGCAAUGGACGAAAGUCUGACGGAGCAACGCCGCGUGAGUGAUGUAGGUCUUCGGAUUGUAAAGCUCUGUUAAUCGGGACGAAAGAGCCUAGUGUGAAUAAUGCUAGGAAGUGACGGUACCGGAAUAGAAAGCCACGGCUAACUACGUGCCAGCAGCCGCGGUAAUACGUAGGUGGCAAGCGUUGUCCGGAAUUAUUGGGCGUAAAGCGCGCGCAGGCGGAUCUGCCAGUCUGUCUUAAAAGUUCGGGGCUUAACGCCGUGAUGGGAUGGAAACUACAGAGCUAGAGUAUCGGAGAGGAAAGUGGAAUUCCUAGUGUAGCGGUGAAAUGCGUAGAUAUUAGGAAGAACACCAGUGGCGAAGGCGACUUUCUGGACGAAAACUGACGCUGAGGCGCGAAAGCCAGGGGAGCGAACGGGAUUAGAAACCCUGGUAGUCC